CCUACGGGCGACAGCAGUGAGGAAUAUUGGUCAAUGGCCGGAAGGCUGAACCAGCCAAGCCGCGUGAGGGAUGAAGGCGCAGAGCGUCGCAGACCUCUUUUGCCGGGGGACAAAAGGCCGGACUUGUCCGGUCCUGAGGGUACCCUGAGAAAAAGCAUCGGCUAACUCCGUGCCAGCAGCCGCGGUAAUACGGAGGAUGCGAGCGUUAUCCGGAUUCAUUGGGUUUAAAGGGUGCGCAGGCGGAACUUUAAGCCGGCGGUUAAAAGGCGGGGCUCAACCCCGCCGUGCCGUUGGAACUGGGGGUCUUGAGUGGGGGAGAGGAAUGCGGAAUGCGUGGUGUAGCGGUGAAAUGCAUAGAUAUCGCGCAGAACCCCGAUUGCGAAGGCAGCGUGCCGGGCCGCAACUGACGCUGAGGCACGAAAGCGCGGGGAUCGAACAGGAUUAGAUACCCCUGUAGUC
rnacentral:rRNA from 1 species